rnacentral:rRNA from 1 species
ACGCAAGUGCGAUGGGGCUACCCAAAGUGCUCCACACGGAGCUGUGGUGGAUGAGUAAUGUUCUCCGCUAGAAAGGAGAGGGCAAGGCUGGUGCCAGCCGCCGCGGUAAAACCAGCUCUUCAAGUGGUCGGGAUAAUUAUUGGGCUUAAAGUGUCCGUAGCCGGUAUGGUAAGUUCCUGGUAAAAUUGGGCAGCUUAACUGUCCUUGUGCUAGGGAUACUGCUCUACUAGAGGGCGGGAGAGGUCUGAGGUACUACAGGGGUAGGGGUGAAAUCUUAUAAUCCUUGUAGGACCACCAGUGGCGAAAGCGUCAGACUGGAACGCGCCUGACGGUGAGGGACGAAAGCCAGGGGAGCGAACCGGAUUAGAUACCCGGGUAGUCCUGGCCGUAAACGAUGCGCACUAGGUGAUGGUGCGGCUAUGAGCCGCAUCAGUGUCGUAGGGAAACCGUUAAGUGUGCCGCCUAGGAAGUACGGUCGCAAGGCUUAAACUUAAAGGAAUUGGCGGGGGAGCACCACAAGGGGUGAAGCCUGCGGUUCAAUUGGACUCAACGCCGGGCAACUUACCAGGGGAGACAGCAGAAUGAGGGUCAGGUUGACGACCUUACCUGACAAGCUGAGAGGAGGUGCAUGGCCGUCGCCAGUUCGUGCUGUGAGAUAUCCUGUUAAGUCAGGCAACGAACGAGACCCGCACCUUUAUUUGCCAGCAAGAAGUCACGACUUCGUUGGGAACGAUAAAGGGACCGCCGUCGAUAAGACGGAGGAGGGAGCGGGCAAAGGCAGGUCAGUAUGCCCCGAAACCCCUGGGCCACACGCGGGCUGCAAUGGUGCGAACAAUGGGCUGUGACUCCGAAAGGAGAAACCAAUCCCGAAAUCGCAUCUCAGUGGGGAUUGUCGACUGUAACUCGUUGACAUG